UUGUUUGUUUUUUUUCCAGCCAAAAUCCACUCCAUCUCCUGUAAACAGCUGUGAUGUCUUGGAGGAACUGAAUCCAAAGACCUAAAUGACAAAAGCACCGCCCUGCACACAGUUUAUGAAUAAAUUUUGCACUGGAACAAGGAGAGUGCCACCAAAUUCACCUGCAUAAUCUGGGAAUUAAUUGAUUAUUAAUCAUUCAUAUCAUGAAUUGAUAGAAUCCGGGCUGGGAAUCUAGUGGUGCCUGUUGAUAGGAACUAGAAAAAAGUAUUACAUAUUUAACAAAUAUAAAAAAUAAAUGAUGACACUAAUACAUUUGACAGUGGAAUUUCCUCUAAUAUUUUGUUUAAACAUAACUCAAACGAGGAAAAUUAUUAGUCUCAUCCAGAGAAAAGUAAAACAUGAUACUAAAGCAUCACAGAGUUCAUCAUAAAUAAACAGCUAACUUAAAUAUUUGUGUUCAAUUAAAACAAAUGUGCCAUAGUUACAGUUUAAUAAUUCUGGUGUUGGGGUUUUCUUGUAAAAUCAACAUUAAUAAUAUAAAGAAAUAUUCAUAUAAAGCCCACACACCUGGUGACACAUGAGGAUAUAAACCCUGAGAUACCAAAUGUUUGUCAGCCAGUUUUGUGAACUGUUUCUAAAGAUAAAUCCAUUUUCUGUUUCUCUGGUUGUGUGACAUCACUGGGGACAGUACUGCAAACCAAUCAGUAAUAUUCACAGUGUGCUGCAUGUUGGGCUGUGUGAUGUUGACAGAUUUACCCUCCGUCUCACCCACUGUGCAUGGAUUGACACUAGUGCCCUGCUACUCUCAGCAGCGUAGAAGUUAAUUUUCAAAUGAGUUUCCUAAUUUAUGACAUGUAGGAAGAAUAUUGUUUCCUUGGUCACCCCUAUGAGCACAUGUAAAUAUUCUGCUUGUUAGUUUGUUUGUUUGUUUUUUACUUGAUCAAAGUUGAGGAUCUUGGAAUCAAAACAAGAUUUUGUCUUGACCUAUAUUUUAUCUUUAGCUGAGCUAAAGAUAAAAAUGGUGUUAGGAUGUUUUAAGUUUCUCAUGACACUGAAAGAAAUGUUGAUAAUAUUUCCUGUUAAUAUACAGGGACAAGGGACAUUUUCUAUCUUAGUUGUGUAAACAUUUAGAAAUUGAACAGCUCAGCUCAAAAUCACUUGUGUUGAGUUAAGCAGAAACAUGGUAAAUGAAGUUGCACUGCUGCUUCAUUCCUUUUGUACUGUUUGGCUUCAAUAAAGUUCCCAAU